UGUUGGCUGCCUAUAAGUACUCGUCGGGGCUGGCGGUAUUGCCAACCGGUCUACACAUGCGCCCAUCAGUCCAGGAGCCUCCCUAGCAGGGCUGCCUCGCUGGGAAAAGCCAGAACGUGCCAAACGCUUAUCAAAUCGCCAGGUGAGUUGGAAGCUGGCUUUGAGAAUCUGAAUUUGUGGACUUGGGAGGCUGGGAGAGGUUCAAGUCGUUUGGGUUCUGUGCUUGAUCCAGGGCAGGUGAGGCAGGUCGGCGGUGGCAGGAACACCAAGAAAUUCGUCAUGGGAAACAUCCAGUAGAUUCAUCGUCUGGUGAGUGUUUAGCUUGCUUGAUUUUUUUACAAAAUAUUAUUGUUUGUUUGGUUUCUUUUUCACUCUCUUUUGGUUUCAUAUUUAGCACUUUUUAGAUGAUCUAUUGACCCAUGCAGUUGGAAGGAAUGUUCGGCCAACACUAUGCGGAUUAAUUGAUCCUUGUCUUGUUGCUGCUAAGAGUUGCAUCUGAUGCGGAUGUUUUGUAUCGUUCGUAGCAAGAAUUUGGUAUAGAGAGCAUAAUAUAUCUUUCUAGACAGUAAAAAGAUCAAUUGUUCUGGAAGGUGACAUAGUUGUUUACGGGGAGAGGAAUACUAGCUAUUUUGGCCUGAGUAGUCUGAAUUUCUGCAGCUGGCAUCAAGGUUUGGAGCAAUAAUAAUAGCAUUUGGAUUGGUUGGAGAAGACGAUAUAUGUGGUGUAAGUGCAACCUCAAAAAAUAUGUUAUCUUACUAUGUUAUCCCCUUGAUUAUCUAAUGUCUAGAAACAAUAUUUUUCACCUCAAAUGUUGUUAGACUACAAUGAUCUUCUGGAGCACCCAUUUUAUGAUAUCCAUGACAACAAGCUAAAUAAAGAGGGCCUAAAGCUAAAUUAUGUUUUGAUUUCAUUUUAGAAGCAAAAUAAUAAUAGUUUGUCCAUGAUAAUCAAUGAUCUUUAUUUAUCUUAUUGUUCCUCGGGACUGAUUUUAUGGGAGAGAUAAAGAGUAAAGAUAUGCAUCCUGUAGUGCUUACGCCAAAAAUUUCAGGAAGAUUUUGCUUCAUCUUUUGGGGAGCCUAUUGAAACAAAAGGGAGGGAGAAGGAGUUAAGAGAAAGAGAAGGCCCAGCACCUCUAUUUGCAUGUCAAUUCUGAAGUGGAGAGCUGCAUCAAGUAUCUGAAGAGGAGAGAGGAGGAUCCCUACAAGAGUACACUGCCCAAUCUUCUAUUUCAGGCAGCUCAUCGUUCUGAU